rnacentral:rRNA from 1 species
CUAACAAGGAUUCCCCUAGUAACGGCGAGCGAAGCGGGAAGAGCUCAAAUUUGAAAGCUGGCACCUCCGGUGUCCGCGUUGUAAUCUCGAGACGUGUUUUCCGUGCGGCUCUAUGGACAAGUCCCUUGGAACAGGGCAUCGUAGAGGGUGAAAAUCCCGUACUUGCCAUGGAUGUACCGUGCUUUGUGAUACACGCUCUAAGAGUCGAGUUGUUUGGGAUUGCAGCUCAAAAUGGGUGGUAGACUCCAUCUAAAGCUAAAUAUCGGGGAGAGACCGAUAGCGAACAAGUACCGUGAGGGAAAGAUGAAAAGCACUUUGGAAAGAGAGUUAAAAGUACGUGAAAUUGUCGAAAGGGAAGCGCUUGAAGUCAGCCAUGCUGCGCGGACUCAGCCCGGCUGAUGCCUGGUGUAUUUCCCAGCAGCAAGUCAGCAUGGAUUUGGAUCGCCGGAGAAGGGUGGGAGGAAUGUGGCACCCUCGGGUGUGUUAAGCCUCCUACUGGAUACGGCGAUUUGGAUCCAGGAACGCAGUGUGCCUCUGGCGGGUCUUCGGACACCUUCACACUUAGGAU